AUCCUCUUCAUGGAGUCCUUUAUAAAUGGAGGAAUAAAAAAAACCCACAGCCAUUGCACUCCGGAUGUGCUGACCCCUGCGAUUUCCCCAAAUGUGGGAAACUCGACUGCAUAAUUUGUGGUAGUGGGGGACUGCGUUCGCGCUCUCCCCUA
rnacentral:snRNA from 1 species